rnacentral:rRNA from 1 species
CGCAUCUGUGCAUGCAGCAUAUCAAUAAGCGGAGGAAAAGAAACUAACAAGGAUUCCCCUAGUAACGGCGAGUGAAGCGGGAAGAGCUCAAAUUUGAAAUCUUAAAGGGUUUCCCUUUACGAAUUGUAGUUUAAAGAAGUGUUUUCUGUUGAGGUUUUGGUAAAAGUUCUUUGGAAUAGGACAUCAUAGAGGGUGAGAAUCCCGUAUUUGACCUUUGCUUUCAACUUUGUGAUACACUUUCAAAGAGUCGGAUUGUUUGGGAAUGCAGUCCAAAAUGGGUGGUAAAUUUCAUCUAAAGCUAAAUAUUGGCGAGAGACCGAUAGCGAACAAGUACCGUGAGGGAAAGAUGAAAAGAACUUUGAAAAGAGAGUUAAACAGUACGUGAAAUUGUCAAAAGGGAAGCGUUUGACACCAGUGUUGUUUUUCUGAAAAUCAAUUAAAGAACUGUUUAUGCUAAGCUGUUUAGACUUUAUCAGCUAUCUGUUUAGUUUUGAGCUUUUCUUUAAUGCACUUUUCAGUUAACAAGUCAACAUCAAUUUCUUUUGCUGUAAAAAAGCUUGAGGAAGGUGGCUUGAGAUUCGUCUUAAGUGUUUAUAGCCUCUUGCCUAUGCAGUCGGAGAGAUUGAGGUCUGCAGCGUAGAUCCUUCGGGGCUAAAUGCAUUUGUGCUAAGUUAUAGCAUUUUAUAGACAACUUGUUGACUAUGAUUUGUCUUGUAGCUUACUCGCUUAUGUUAUUUUACCUACGCUUAGGAUGUUGACGAGACUGUCGAUCUCGUCUAUACAUGACUCUGUGCAUAUCAAUAAGCGGAGGAAAAGUACUACCUACGCUUAGGAUGUUGACGAGACUGUCGAUCUC